AAAAGGUGCGUCCUUCUAAACUGUGGCAUACCUUUAUGUAAAUAAAACCCAUAUAUCAUCAUUCAGAAGCAGCACGACGAGCCACAAAACAAAGCAAACGUCGUUGUAAUUGUAAUUGUAAUUGUAAUAUGUGGGUCCAUCUUCAAUUCGUUAGCAAUUACUUAAGGUAAACAAAUGUAAAUGUAAUUCAUAUUUGAAUUGAAUUUACAGCUGCGACCUUCGCUGUGGCAAUCAAAAGCCAAAGCCGAGAUCGAACUGCUUGGUUAUUAGUGAAAUUCGAACCGUUAACUGAAUGCCACAAGUAUUUGAAUUGUCUUAGCGCCGGAUUUGUUUGGCUCUGAAAAGGCGUUGGAUACAUCAACAACAAAUACUUCAACUCGUAUGUAGAUGCGAUGGAUCGAUAGAUGUGUGUGAGUAUGAGUUAAUAUCUUUUGAAAUUGGUUACUUCCAUUUGGCACACGAUCACCACGAAAAGAAAAAAGCCCAGUUUAAGGUCAACUAAUUGCCAGCGACAUGUGACGAUUUCGUUGCGAGGAGCAUUUGCAAUUUACAAUCUAAUUUACUGGAACUAAACUUGCACUUAAUGAUUUAUUUAUAGAUAUCAAGUGCAAUUAAUUUUAGGAAACCCAAUGUUGUGCUUCAUUUCGCGAAUGAAUCAGCAACUCAAAGACACACUCUUUAUUCUCAGGUACCUAAUUAUGUAUUCACUUAAUAAACGGUGUCAGAUUGGACUCAUUAUGAAGAUCUAAGAACACAAAUUAAAAUAAAAGUAAACAAACGUUGAAUUCA